CCAAAGGCUCUUUUCAGAGCCACCCACAGUUUCGAGAAGGAGCUUG
rfam:Tinamus guttatus contig1286, whole genome shotgun sequence.